rnacentral:rRNA from 1 species
GCAGAUCGCACGCCGCAAUCAAUGGAGGCUUCUUGCAUUGAACAGGAAGAAGGUGGGCUUCCGUCCCCUCCCAUGGAUGAAGCUGCUCUUUUCGCUACGCCGUGUACUUCCAUACAGUUAUCCGAGUUCUUCGAUGAAAUGGAUGAUGAUGGAAAUGUUAGAAUCAAUGCCAAGGAGGGUGAACAACAAUAUCCCACAAACCAUGAGUCAGUCAAGAAACAGCCUCCUAUGGCCCAACAGUAUGAUCCAGUACAGAAUUGGAGGCUUGAUCAGUCUGCGGUGAGACAGUCACGGCUGCGUGAAUCUUGCGGCUGGCAAACAGGGCAGCAAUGCAUCACCGAGGCACAAGAGAAGCCUUCAAAUGCAGCAUUUGGGCCAGGGAGACCACAUUGGUUGCACUCUGAGCCGAUAGGUUCUGAACUAAGGCCUAAGCCGCCGCAAGGCAUCAUACUGAAUCAAACUCAAAGAAGAACAAAACCAACAAUGCCUAAUCGACUGUUGGGUCAACAUGAUGAGAAUCCAGUCCAGGCGAAUGCCAAAAUUGAAGCUACAAAACGAAAGCUUGAAGAAGGUUACCAAGAAUUUAGCAAUGCGAAGCAGGAGCGAAUAAUACAAAUGGUGGAUCCGCAAGACCUGCUGAAGCAAGGGAACCGGAGCUUACAACCCAAUGGCAAGGCAAGGAACAACAGCGCCGGCAACAUCAGGAAUCGGCUAGGCAUUCAUCACUGA